AUAAGAGGAUUUAUCUCAAGAAACCAAACGCUUAGCAGGAAAUAAAGCAAGCUACACGAAAUUCCUACUGAAAUAUGUCUCCAAUUCACAAUUAACGAUGGAAAUUUGAACUGGUGCUAACAGAUUUUUCUAAACUAUGUUGUUCGUAGUCCAAUUUUUUUUUGUUGGUAGUGAUCAUCAAGCAUGCCUUUGGGCAAACGUGUCUUUCUAACGAGGCUAAGGAAGACUUUGACAAAUCUAGGAAAGCCCUGACAGAUGUACAGGAAAACAUUGGAAAAGUUACCAACAAACUUGAAAACGACAAUAAAAAGAUACUUGGCAUAUUUAAAGACACUCUUAACACUAUGGGCCAAAAGAUAAAGAAACUUAACACUGAUUUAAAAGUCAUUGGAACACAAUUUGAAAACGACAAUAAGAAGACACUUGUCAUGUUUAAAGGAACACUUAAUACAAUGGGUCAAAAGAUUAAGAAACUUGACACUGAUUUUAAAGUCCUUGGAGAAGAUUUUCGUAAAACAAAAUGGCACAAAUAUAACGGUCACUGUUACUAUUACAGUCCCGAAGCAAAAGACUGGUUUACUGCUGAAAGAAAAUGUAGAGAAAUUGGAGGAUAUAUUGUCAAAAUUGAUGACAAAGAAGAAAACAGCAAUAUUGCUGUAAACAAAGCAACCAGUGGUCAUCACUACUGGAUUGGCUUGACAGAUCUCAAGGAAGGGGAAUGGCGCUGGACCUAUGAUCAGUCGAAAGCUGAGUUUACAAAUUGGAUUUCUGGUUAUGGUGCCAAGGGCACAGAUAGUAAUUGCGUGCUGCUACAUAAUGGUAGAGCAGAUUGGUUUGAUAACUAUUGUCAUUACAAAUCGCUAUACAUUUGUGAAAGCAAUUUCUGUUUUUAAAUGAUUAAUAGAAGAGAAAACACUCGAAGCAAGAAAACACAGAAGAAUUAUGUUUAAAAUGUUGAAUAAAAUGGAAUAAAUCAU